UGGGGCGUCGCCAAGUGGUAAGGCACCGGGUUUUGAUCCCGGCAUUCGCAGGUUCGAAUCCUGCCGCCCCAG
rfam:Rhodanobacter sp. SCN 66-43 ABT18_C0017, whole genome shotgun sequence.